AACGAACGCUGGCGGCAGGCCUAACACAUGCAAGUCGAGCGAGACCUUCGGGGUCUAGCGGCGGACGGGUGAGUAACGCGUGGGAACGUGCCCUUCUCUACGGAAUAGUCCCGGGAAACUGGGUUUAAUACCGUAUACGCCCUUCGGGGGAAAGAUUUAUCGGAGAAGGAUCGGCCCGCGUUAGAUUAGAUAGUUGGUGGGGUAACGGCCUACCAAGUCUACGAUCUAUAGCUGGUUUUAGAGGAUGAUCAGCAACACUGGGACUGAGACACGGCCCAGACUCCUACGGGAGGCAGCAGUGGGGAAUCUUAGACAAUGGGGGCAACCCUGAUCUAGCCAUGCCGCGUGAGUGAUGAAGGCCUUAGGGUCGUAAAGCUCUUUCGCCUGUGAUGAUAAUGACAGUAGCAGGUAAAGAAACCCCGGCUAACUCCGUG
rnacentral:rRNA from 1 species